GUAAGAACCUCAUCUUUCUUGAUCUGAAGAUAUUGGGGUUUAGAUAUAUUGUGCCCAGUGGGCCACUUUUGGUAAGCAGAACUGGCGCUGUGGGAUGAACCAAACGUGAUGUUACGGCGCCUAAAUUAAUGACUCAUAUUGAUACCAUGAAAGGCGUUGGUUGCUUAAAACAGCAGGACGGUGGACAUGGAAGUCGUAAUCCGCUAAGGAGUGUGUAACAACUCACCUGCCGAAGCAACUAGCCCUUAAAAUGGAUGGCGCUCAAGUCAUAUGCCUAUACAUCACCGCUAAAAUAUAAAAAUUUUAUUUUUUAAAUAAAAUUUAUCAAAUUUUAGUGAGUAGGAGGGUACAAUGGUGUGCGCAGAAGUGUUUGGCGUGAGCCUGCAUGGAGCCGCCAUUGGCACAGAUCUUGGUGGUAGUAGCAAAUAAUCGAAUGAGAUCUUGGAGGACUGAAGUGGAGAAGGGUUUCGUGUGAACAGUGGUUGAUCACGAGUUAGUCGGUCCUAAGCUCUAUGCGAAAGCUGUUUAAUUUAUGUUACUAAAGAAAUAUACAAUAUUUUUGUUGUACAUAAUUUAAUAAGAGCGAAAGGGAAUACGGUUCCAAUUCCGUAACCUGUUGAGUAUACGUUUGUUUAUUAAAAAUGGGUCUUAUUACACUCAUCCUGGCAACAGGAACAACCAUAGAGAAGCCUUCGAGAGAUACUGGAAGAGUUUUCUUUUCUGUUGAACAAUCGUAUCACCAUGGAAUUCUUUCACAGAGAGAUAUGGUGAAUGGAUUGGAAGAGCAUGACAUUUACUGUUGUGUCAGUAUUUUCUCCUUGGACCUUGAAAAUCUAUGGUGGGGCCACGCAAACAUCUCAACAGACCGUACCGAUAUCCGCAGCCGGUCUCCAAGGUGAAGAGUCUCUAGUCGAUAGA
rnacentral:rRNA from 1 species